rnacentral:rRNA from 1 species
UGAAACCCGCCUGUAUGAAGUUGGAAUCGCUAGUAAUCGCGGAUCAGCAUGCCGCGGUGAAUACGUUCCCGGGCCUUGUACACACCGCCCGUCACACCAUGAGAGUCGGAACACCCGAAGUCCGUAGUCUAACCGCAAGGGGACGCGGCCGAAGGUGGGUUCGAUAAUUGGGGUGAAGUCGUAACAAGGUAGC